GGUUGGAUGGCCGAGUGGUCUAAGGCGCCAGAUUCAGGACCCGCACCUCAUUGGUGCAUAUCAUGUGUAGCUUACACAUUCUGGUCUUUAAUUAGGCGUGGGUUCGAAUCCCACUCCAAUCA